CGUGUAGGCGGUUUUGCAAGUCAGAUGUGAAAUUCCCAGGCUUAACCUGGGCGCUGCACCUGAAACUGCAAGACUUGAGUACUGGAGAGGAUAGUGGAAUUCCUAGUGUAGCGGUAAAAUGCGCAGAUAUUAGGAGGAACACCGGUGGCGAAGGCGACUAUCUGGACAGUAACUGACGCUGAGGCGCGAAAGCGUGGGGAGCAAACA
rnacentral:rRNA from 1 species